AGGCCAAUUUAAGAAUAUAAAGAACAAAAAGCAUUUCAAAAAAGACUUGAUGCUUUACCUCAAUGUUUUCAUUUUCUACCUACAAUCACCAUCAUUAUCUACCUACAAAGUUUGAAGUCAUUUGCCUACUUCUCCUUCAACAACAUCAGUCUAUUUUUUCCAAUUAACAUAUUUUAUAUGUGAAAACACAAUAUUAAACUCUGCAAAACGGAAAAAGAACCAGUUAGAAUAAUGAAGUAAAUAAUGUGAACAUCUACUAAUAUUCUGAUAAAUAAGCAAUGACACAAAAGGACAUACAGGAAAAAAUAUGAAUCAAACUAUCAGGUUAGUGAUCAUUUGGUUGGUGACCAUUUGGUAACUAACGAUGAAUCUAUAUAUCAACUGGCUCUCCAAAAAUGGGAGAAAUAUGAUUCCUAGCAUUACUCUGAGUCUUUUCAUACUGAAGAAAAAUCCAUUCUUUGUUUUACAUAAGACUCUAGGGGUGCCUGGGUGGCUCUGUCAGUUAAGCAUCUAACUCUUGACUUUGGCUCAGGUCAUGAUCUCAUAGUUCAUGAGAUUGAGUCCACUGACAGUAUGGAGCCUGCUUGGGAUUCUCUCUCCCUCUCUCUCUGCCUCUCCCUCACUCGCGUGUGAUCUCUCUCAAAAUAAACAAUCAAAAUACACACACACAUACAUAAAGACUCUAGAAUUUUCAUUGAGAAUUCCUCUUUUAACUCUUUAUUUGGAACAAUGGCAGAUUAUCAUUUAGAAACUGAAUCUAAUGUUAGUCCUGAAAUUAACUUUCUUGAACAGAAAAAUCAACACUUCUUACCCAAGGGUCUUCAACAUUUUGAUGAAAAAGGUGAACAAAUGAAGGAUAAGACCAAUAUUACCAUCCCAGCUGACCCAGCUACCGCCUAACACUGGAACAAAGGGGAAGAAGAAAGAGCGCAGAAGAGGAAGAAGGGAAAUAUCAAGAAGGCGACAACUUCUUCAGCUCUUGACAGACAAGCAUAAGGGAAGGGCUAUUGUCAUUCAUUGUAAUGAACGUAUCAAAACCACUGUGUUAGAUUAAAGCAUGAGUGCUGUCUUA